GACGAAGGAUGCAAGCGUUAUCCGGAUUCAUUGGGUUUAAAGGGUGCGUAGGCGGACUUGUAAGUCAGUGGUGAAAUCUCUUUGCUUAACAAAGAAACUGCCAUUGAUACUGCUAGUCUAGAGUAUAGAUGACGUUGGCGGAAUAUGACAUGUAGUGGUGAAAUACUUAGAUAUGUCAUAGAACACCGAUUGCGAAGGCAGCUAACGAAACUAUAACUGACGCUGAGGCACGAAAGUGCGAGGAUCAAACAGG
rnacentral:rRNA from 1 species